CAACGGUGUCGUAUUGCUCUUCUUCUUUCUCUCCUCCCCCCAGUGUAGUAGUAGUCUCUGCUCUCUUCUUCUCCUUAAACGGCGUCGUAUCCGGUUCUUUCUUCUUGCUCUGUUUUUUGUUGUUGUUCUUCUUCUUGCUCUUCUUG
rnacentral:sRNA from 1 species